rnacentral:rRNA from 1 species
CCCCAGACUCCUACGGGAGGCAGCAGUGGGGAAUAUUGCACAAUGGGGGAAACCCUGAUGCAGCGACGCCGCGUGAGCGAUGAAGUAUUUCGGUAUGUAAAGCUCUAUCAGCAGGGAAGAAGAUGACGGUACCUGACUAAGAAGCCCCGGCUAACUACGUGCCAGCAGCCGCGGUAAUACGUAGGGGGCAAGCGUUAUCCGGAUUUACUGGGUGUAAAGGGAGCGUAGACGGCGAUGCAAGCCAGAUGUGAAAGCCCGGGGCUCAACCCCGGGACUGCAUUUGGAACUGUGUGGCUGGAGUGUCGGAGAGGCAGGCGGAAUUCCUAGUGUAGCGGUGAAAUGCGUAGAUAUUAGGAGGAACACCAGUGGCGAAGGCGGCCUGCUGGACGAUGACUGACGUUGAGGCUCGAAAGCGUGGGGAGCAAACAGGAUUAGAUACCCCGGUAAG